UAGGAUACCAAGAAGAUCAUACAGGAGGGGCAGUAACAAUGGGUGGGGGAAGAAGAGGAUUUUUAUGGACAGUAAAGAAGGAAGGGGGGGCAUAAGAUAAGAUUUUCCUCUCUCUCUACAUUCUUUUUUUGUGCCUGCAACAUCUUAUUUAGAGAAUGUUGUUGUGGCAGAAAUAAAAGUAAAGUUCAUUUGCUCACAGGAAAUGAAACAAAACCAUGAAAACGUAAACCAGUAAAAUGUAAAACGUGCUGGUGGCAUUGACCUCCUCCUGCUUUACCUUGACAAAAAAAAAAAAAAAAAAAAGGUAAUAUUCCUGGAAGGCAAGUAGUGCUGUGACCUGUGCUAAUUAAUCUGCCCAUCAGAUCCUAUUAAGCACUUCCAGAUCUGGCAAAUUGCCACUCUUCUUGAGACACAAAUGUAAAUAAAUAUGAAGGUGGUAAAUCACAGCCCUCCCGUGAUGCCUGUGCCAGCAGCCGCCAGCAAAGAGCAGCAGAUAGCAGGGCUCCCUGCAUUCCUUGCCUGGUAAUAAAAAUGUUCCUGUGAGUGGGGGCCAAGCAGAGCACGUCACCAUCUGCUCCAGUCUCUCCGAGGCCAGGCAGCCAAAGCACCUGCGGAGAGGCCUUCCCUGCCCGCCCAGCCAGGCAGCAGGCACGGGGCCUGAGGGCAGAGCAGUGGCCCCACGGGGGCAGGUUGCUCACCUGCAUCCCUCACACUGCGGCUGCUUGGGCCUGGGCUUGGCUGGCAAUCUCCUUGUUACCCUCCACUUAGGCAUGUUUUUUGCAUCCUCUGUCACCGGAAUAGAGAUCAUGAGACCUGCUCUUCUUUCCACCACUCCCUUUGAGCAAACAGCUGAAGAUUAAAAUAGGGCAGUGCUGAAACAGGGAGAGCCACAGAGCUCGCACUAAAUGUAUCUGGAUGGGUCUACUGCAACACUUUGUCGGCACAUGCCUAGCUCAAGCCAAGGCAGUCUGCUGCCCAUUUUAAGGAGCAAGCACAGGCAGGCCGCUGACUCGUUCCGGGGUCUCCCCACUCAUCCAAGGCAAGUACAACACAAUGCAGCCAUUGAUGAGUAUUAAUUCAAGGGUUUAUCUUCCUACACUGAGUUUGAUCAACAGAAGUAAAAAGGGCCUAUAAAGUACUUUAAAGUACUCUGUGCUCUGAAAAUCCUCUGCUGUGUUGUAGUUUGAGAAAUGAUGAAGUGCACUGCAGGCUCCGAAACAGCACCCUGUGAGCUUGUCCAUGCCAUGGGCUUGAGCCUUUGAUCUGCUGAGUGUGUUCAAGAAUCAUCACAAAAGGAUCCCUUGGCUAGCACACCUUCUCCUCCCAUAGCUUCAGUGUGCUAUCAGCAAGCAGUCUUUUCUGAAAUACAACAAAACAGUUGCAUCUUACACAAUAGGAAGAUGUUUCUUGGUUCAUUAAUUC
rnacentral:lncRNA from 1 species